CCUACGGGAGGCAGCAGUGGGGAAUAUUGGACAAUGGGCGAAAGCCUGAUCCAGCAAUGCCGCGUGAGUGAUGAAGGCCUUAGGGUUGUAAAGCUCUUUUACCCGAGAUGAUAAUGACAGUAUCGGGAGAAUAAGCUCCGGCUAACUCCGUGCCAGCAGCCGCGGUAAUACGGAGGGAGCUAGCGUUGUUCGGAAUUACUGGGCGUAAAGCGCACGUAGGCGGCUUUUUAAGUCAGGGGUGAAAUCCCGGGGCUCAACCCCGGAACUGCCCUUGAAACUGGGAAGCUAGAAUCUUGGAGAGGCGAGUGGAAUUCCGAGUGUAGAGGUGAAAUUCGUAGAUAUUCGGAAGAACACCAGUGGCGAAGGCGACUCGCUGGACAAGUAUUGACGCUGAGGUGCGAAAGCGUGGGAGCAAACAGGAUUAGAUACCCUGGUAGUCCACGCCGUAAACGAUGAUAACUAGCUGUCCGGGUUCAUGGAACUUGGGUGGCGCAGCUAACGCAUUAAGUUAUCCGCCUGGGGAGUACGGUCGCAAGAUUAAAACUUAAAUGAAUUGACGG
rnacentral:rRNA from 1 species